GACGAACGCUGGCGGCGUGCCUAAUACAUGCAAGUCGAACGCACAGUUUAUACCGUAGCUUGCUACACCAUAAACUGUGAGUUGCGAACGGGUGAGUAACGCGUAGGUAACCUUCCUGGUAGCGGGGGAUAACUAUUGGAAACGAUAGCUAAUACCGCAUAAUAUUGAUUAUUGCAUGAUAAUUGAUUGAAAGAUGCUAUUGCAUCACUACCAGAUGGACCUGCGUUGUAUUAGCUAGUAGGUGAGGUAACGGCUCACCUAGGCGACGAUACAUAGCCGACCUGAGAGGGUGAUCGGCCACACUGGGACUGAGACACGGCCCAGACUCCUACGGGAGGCAGCAGUAGGGAAUCUUCGGCAAUGGACGAAAGUCUGACCGAGCAACGCCGCGUGAGUGAAGAAGGGUUUCGGAUCGUAAAGCUCUGUUGUAAGAGAAGAACGGGUGUGAGAGUGGAAAGUUCACACUGUGACGGCAGCUUACCAGAAAGGGACGGCUAACUACAUG
rnacentral:rRNA from 1 species